AACGCACAUUGCGCCCCUUGGCAUUCCAUUGGGCAUGCCUGUUCGAGCGUCAUUUCCACUCUCAAGCAAUGCUUGGUGUUGGGUGUUUGUUUGUGCUUAUUGCAUGAACUCGCCUUAAAAGUAUUGGCAGCAGCUUACCAGCCUCCCGCGCAGCACAAUGCGCUCUAUGGGGUUUGGCAGGCCAGCGUCCACAAGAUAUUUCUAGGUUGACCUCGAAUCAGGUAGGGAUACCCGCUGAACUUAA
rnacentral:misc_RNA from 1 species